rnacentral:lncRNA from 1 species
UUAUUCGUCUCUUUCAUUCCUGCAUUGAUAUUCACACAGUUUUCUCGUAACAGUAAGCAUGGGUUCAGGUAUGAACUUGGAAGAUAUUUGGCGUGCUAUGUACUUGCUCAAUGAGGUUGCCGCUGAUGAUAUAUUUGGUUGUAUCGAAUCUGCUAUCUCAAUUGCAUCACUGGAGAGGCCAGACGAGUUUAGGGAAAGAAAAUUGAGAAUAGCGCGACUUCUCUACGGUGAUGAUGAUGAUACUUCCAUUAACAGUGGUGAAGAAGCCGAUCUUGAAGAUAAAAAGGAUCCAAGUCAUUCGAUUCCAAAUAGUGAUGAGAAUACAAGUGUUGAUGAUGAAAGAAAACCCCGCGACAUCAUUCGAAUUAAGUUGCCUAAAACAAGAAGCAACGUCAACGCAGCACCGGAGUCGGCAAAGAAGACAAGGAUUAACGUACAGCAUCAAAAAAAGAUUCAAGAUCGACAAAGUUCUCAGAUGGACUUGAAAUUUGUAGAGAGUAAAAGAAAAUUGGAAGAAAGAUGUCAACAACUCGACAAAUCAAGAAGCAAGAUACAAAUUCUUGAGACCAAGAAUCUUCCUCGUCAAGAUGUGGAACCAAAGAAGAGACUGCAGGUUUUAAACUGCACAGGCCAAAAAAUAAAAAGGCAAUCUGCUCCGUGUGAAUUUCUUCCAAAUUCCAGGUUCAGUUGGGAUAGCAAGUGUACGAGGCCGGGGACUACGUCUUGGAGCCACCGCCUAUCGAACAAGUGUUAGAAAAUCAAACUAGUGAGGUCUGUUUGAACAUAUAUUUUGAUGUAAUGUUGCAAAAGAACUACGUGCAGCUUGAUCUCGAAUUUGGGUACGUAGGCAGCCUAAACUUUAAAGGUUCAGCUGCUCUUAAUGAUAACAAUCUGUUUGCGCCUGAAAGUUGUAAUUGUUUAAAAUCUGUUACUCAAUUCUGGUAGUUGUGAAUAUAGAUAUUUUACAGAGUUAUUGUUGUAUAUUUUCAUGGAAUAUUUCUAGCCCAUAUGUUUUAAUUCCUGUUUGGUAGAGAUUUUUUUAACAGAUUUUUGUGAAAAGUAAAGGUUAUGAAUUCAUGUAUAAAAUUAUUUUAGCGGAAGACGUGUGGUUUAAAAUGACUUCGAUGAAAUAUGAACCAACAUCAACUUGUUAUAUUCAGUCAUAUCUCCAGUUCUCACUAAUUAGAUUAUUCUGAUAUUUGUUGCUAAUCAAGAGUUUUGCUGCAUUUAAUUAAUGUCUUUAGUCAGGGGUUGCUUUAGUUAAUUUUGGGUCAAGAAGUCAUGUUGGUUCUUUAUAUUCGAUUGAAUCAAGAUGUAACUUAAUGGUUACUAUUUGGUAUUAUCUUGGAAAUCGAUGAGCUUCGAUCUCUUUUCGUUACUAUUUCGUGUUUCUCAUUGCAUCACACGAGUGUACUUGUAUAAAACCUGAUUCGUGCAAUAGAGUGAUAGGAAACAAUUGUAUCAGUUCAUGAUGGAAUUAAUCUGAGCUUCACGCUGAUGUAAUCGUUUUGGUGCACGAUAAAAUUUUUUCAUCGAGUCUCAGUCCUAUUAUCUUUUUACUUAGUGGAAGUCUUUCAAAGUGGUAGAUCAUCUAUUAGAAAUUUGCGUUGUGAUAUAAAAAUGUCUUUUACUUAGUAGUAGUUGUAGUUUUGGCACCGUCAAUAUAAUAUUGUAUAGAACACUAAAGACCAUUUUACUAGUGAUAUGAAAUAACUUAGAACAUCGUUAAAUAUAUAUUUGUUAGCCCAUUGCUUGCAAAACACGAAGAAAAUAUCUAAUCGAUCAAUGAUCUUCGGAUAAAAGCCAUUCGAUUAUAGGCAAAAAAAUGUUAAAAGACCGAGAAUGAGCUCAAGAGCUAUAUUGACAGUCGAAAAUAAGGAAACACGAAUGGAAGUGGAUUAUAUUUUUAAGUUUGCAUAUGUUGAGCUGUAUGUAUAGGAGAGUAAUCUUACGUUGACUAAUCUCUUUGAAUAUUCUUUUAUACUUUAAAAAGCCAAAAAUUAUAGUAGCUCAUAGAUGCUUUAGCAACAUCUUGCAUUGAUAUGUUUUCUCUAAUAUCUUGAAACGAGAAAAAAGAGAAUGAAUGAUGUUAGUCAUCACAUACAAGGAAUGUAGGAUUGCUUCAUAGGCCUUCGUUGCUGGCUGAAAGUCAUCAAUUGCAACAUCUUUGUUCUCGUUUUUCUUGUCCGAUAAAGUGUUAAAAGAAAAAUGUUCGUAUCAUUGAGACUGAAGACGCUGUCGAUUCAAAACUUCCUAGUAAUGAAAUACUCUAUAGGAUUUAUAUUCUAUUUUGAAACGAUACAAUCUUCAAAGAAGCCUCAAAUUUUAGCCUUUCGGUGCGGUGGUUUAAUUUCUAUUUAGUGCUGAUAUUCAGGAUCAUCAGCACAAAAAUCUAUUAUUUUGUUGUCUUUCUCUUCCUGUAUUUCAAAUUACACCAAUAUUUCUCUGAACGAUAUUCAUCGAUGAUGGGCAUCACGCGAAUUGGUUUUGCCCUGGGAAAGCAUCCUGGAACAACUGGUUCCGGUUUAUGUUUUCAAAUGGUUAAGCAUCAGGGAAAAGUUGUGUUUGGCAAAAAACAUCAUCAAAAGUUCAAAACAUUUUAGAAAUCACAUUUUCGUAUAACUUUAAUAAGAGAUUAAAUUAUUUUUAUUUUGCUUUUUUAAUAUAAUUUUUAUUUUCCUAGAAUUUUAGUUUUUUCGGGUUUUUUUUUUUUUGAAAUUUACGAUUUAAUUUUACAAAAUUGAAUUCUUUGAAUUUCAUUUUUCUUAGAAUUUCAUUUUUUUUAAAAUAAAGAUUAAUUUUUAGAAUUUUAUUUUAAUAAAAUGUUAUUUAAACGCUUAUUUGUCAUGUUUUGAAUGUUCUCAAAAUUUUUGCUUAAAAGUUAAAACAUUCAAAACAUCAAAAGUUCGUGUUGAGUUUUAUGUUAUGAGUUUAACAUUAUUUUUGAAAUGCAUUUGUCAAAAUAUCACAUCGAACAUGUUUUGGAUGUUUUGCAAAAUUGAAAAUAGUUUGAAAAUAACAAAUCAAACGCACCCAUAAUUUUUGGGAUUAUUUUUAUAUUAGUCAUCAAACUUUAUUUUGUUUCAAAAUUACCAAGUAACUGAAGUACCAUUUCUUUUCAAUGAUUAAAAACUAAUGGCCCAUUCAAAGCGAAAAAUUAACCUAGUGUUGACCUUUGGAAUUGGACCUCCCACAUGGCCAAUUAAUAGCUACUCCAUGUGAUCCUUCCUGCGCACAAUCAACACACGGUCAAACGCACAUGAUCGGAACCAGCGGGGUGGUGGCGGCCGCAUACACUCCAACGAUUAAGUUAGUAUAUGGUGAUCAGAAUAGUGUCCGGGUUGUGCAAGAGAGUGGGGAGGAGAUUAUAUAUGUGUUCUUGUUAUGGAGAGCUAAGUUGCCAGAGUUUCAUUCCUUUUGCCUCUUGUUAAACCUUGGGUAUUUAUCGGUGAGGAGAUCGUUGGAUGUGGGACACGUAUAUGCAUCUGAUGGUGUGAGACGUUUGUUCAUGGGCGUCAAUCAGCCACGUCUAUAGAGUGGGCGGGUAAUAACUUCUCUUGAGUUGAGUUGACAUAAAGUUGAUAUGUCACAUCAACUAGACCCUUGGAGACGUCAAAUCAAUUAAACCUUGGGGGCAGAAAGGAUCUUGACACAGAUCUCUUUCUGAAAGUGAAGGUAGAUCCACUGAAGGAGAACCUCGGAGUGCAUUGCGCUUCAGUGUCGAGGACACUUCGAUCGGUUCAGUAGAAUUAUUUUUAGCCUCGCAGUGAUGCGCUGACAUUGGUGGUGGACAUCUCGUAUGAUGCAGUGGUAGACUUUCCGAAGUGAUUCAGAUAGGGGCGUAACAGUGGUCCUCCCAAGUUCAGGCAUGAAUAUUUAUAUUAUGGGUGUACUUGUUUUCCCGAUCGAGUAUGCCUGCCUUAGUUUGUGAUAGAGAACUGGCGUGGAAGGGCGAAGUGUGUAGAUGGCCCGAAAGCUUGUGGAUCAGUUUUUUGUGUUCACCGAAGAGAUGGCGUUGGGAAAAGGGCAAAGCCUUGUGAAGCUUAGGUCGGGAUACAUAUCUGACCGAGACGCUGACCUACAGAGAUGACGCUUGGGAGAUGCUGAAGCCUAUGAAGCUGAAGGUCGGGACACGUCGUCGACUGAGGCGCUAAAGCUUCGGUGCUGCCUAAGGAAGGAGUUCAUCUACCACCGAUGCUCUGACCCACAGGACAACGCGUUGGGAGACGGUUAAAGCUUUGUAAGCUUAGGAGGGAACGCAUGACCAAGGCGGUAACACACAGGGGACUUCACGUUGGGAGCAUCUAACCUUUGUAAGCUGAGUGAGGAGGUCAUCUGCGACCGAUGCAGGAGAGGGCUAAAGCUUUGUAAAGCUUAGAAGAGAACGCUGCUACCGAGGCGAUGACCCAUAGUGGACUCCGCGUCAGGCGUCUAAGCUUUGUAAAGCUGAGUGGGGAGCUCAUCUGCCACCGGUGCGCUGACCCACAGGGGACGACGCGUUGAAAGAUGGCUAAACAUUUGUAAAUCUUAGGAGGAACGUGGCUACCGAGGCGAUGACCCACAGGGGACUCCGCGUUAGGUGCGUUUAAGCUUUGUAAAGUUGAGUGAGGAGCUCAUCUACCACCGGUGCACUUACCCACAGGGGACGACGCGUUGGGAGAUGGCUAAACCUUUGUAAAGCUUAUGAGGAAUGAUGACCCACAUGGGACUUUGCGUCAGGUACGUCUAAACUUUGUAAAGCUGAGGAUUUCGAUCUGAGAUGAACAUUUUUGACGUAAAAUGAUUUGACAGUUGUCACGUAUUUUCAAGACGACAGUUGGGUGCGAUACCCAUUCCCAGAAAAGGCUGCUGCUACUACUUUUUGUAGACGGCUGAUGAUGAUCGAGGCGACGCGUUUUAUGCGAACGUGAGGGUCACAGCUUGAUCUUGGGCGUAGAUCAACUCUGGCAUUUCAUUUCAACGGCUCAGAUUUAUGAUGCGAUGGAUGGCCUAGAUUGAUUGCGUUUGAAUUCAACGGUGGAGAUCAGCUGGGGCACUCUAUAAAAGGGGGACUUGAGCAUUUUGAGAGUUUUUCACUUUUGCGAAAUCAGAAAAUCCAUUUCUUCUCAUGGUUCUUGCGUUUUUCGACGUUGUACAAGCAUUUUUCGACGACAUUUCCAGUUUCUGGCGAUAUCACAUUGGGUGUCGAUCUUUUUCGAUUGUAGGUCCCUCAGUUUCUUAAGCUUUAGUAAGUAUUUUUCGAGUUUUUUCACAUUUCUCUAUUCUACAAUGGCUUUGGAUGGUAGUGGGGCUUUGGAAAGGGAUUUAGAGAUGGUGAGGAUGGAUAAGCCUAUUUUGACGACGCCCAGCGAGGUCGUCAAGGCGAUAUUUGGGGGGAAAAGUAUUUAGAGGAGGCCUGACAGCCCGGUAGAUACAUCAGAACACUGGGGGGCUUCAGAUUACCUGUCGAAAUUGAAUGAGGCUGAUCUGGGUAGACUUAGGGCUGAAUAUAGGAUACCUGAUAGUGUGGAACUGAUAUUAUCGGAGCCUGAUGAGAAGGCCUGUUAUCCUAGUCCAGGGUUUGUAGCCGUGAGUGAGGCACUUUUCAGGGCUGGACUUAGGCUUUUCCUACAUCCCUUCUUUAGGCUAGGGCUGAGGUCGUAUGGGUUAGCCCCGACCCACCUGAACUCGAACUUUUGGAGCUAAAUGGUGGGGUUUUGGAUGUUAUGGAAGGAGGCAUCGCUUGGGAUGGAGAUGCCCUUCUCAGUUUUUCAGACCCUAUACAUCCCUAAGGUAGCAGCUGAGGGGACAAGACUAGGGGGUGGCAUUAUCUAACUUUAUAGGGUUCUCAUACUCCAUUCGUGCUCGAUCAGUCGAGCUCCAUUAAAGAAUGAAAGAGCUCAUGGUGCUGGACUGUCGGGAGAUUGGACACAAUGGAGGGGGACACCCUGACACCUCUUAUGGUCCCCACAAAGUAUUCCACACUUAGUGAGUACUGUUGCCUUGCAUUUUUGCUUAUUCUUCUUCAGUUCAGAUCGUAACUGCUCUUUGUUUGCUUUUUUGAAGGUACCCUUCCUCGGUGUGAGAUAUCCACAGACGACUUCGACAUAAUUUGCAUCGCCUACCAGCUACCCUCGAAAAAAAGGUCAUACCACAAGCUGAUCAGAAAGAACAUUCAUUUCGUAACACACGAUCUGAUGUCUUCGCAAGGUAGAUUUACGAAGUGGCCAUGUCGCGUGGGUUUUUCGACCUUUUCAUACUUGUAAUAAUUUGUUUCUUUCCUUGCAGAUAACUUCAACAAGAAGAGGCCUCUGAGGCCCCAUUUUAAGACAAUUUAGAAAAUGAUGGCAGAGAUGAGAGCCUUGAAGACCUCUCCAUCUGCCUACAAGAAGUAGAUGGAGGAUCUAGUUGACGCUAGUAAGAGGCUUCAGCUUCUGGCGGAUGAGGAGGUUAAAGAAGACCCUGAGGCGAAUCUGUUGAGGAAGGGUAAAAAGGCUGCAGGCUCUUCAAAGGGGGCCACCGUGGCUAGGCUAGCCCCAGUCCUGAGGCAGACAACAAUUCCAAUGGGGGUGGCACUCAGGGAGAAGGUUGAUGAACCCUCCGUGGCUGUCCCUGCCACCUUUGUUGCCGCGGCUGAAGCUCCACUUUCAGCCGUUUCCAUAUCUCAAGUGUCGGGACAGUCGAGGAGAAAAAGGCCCGUCCCAUAAAGGAGGUGGACUUUUUGGGCAUGAACACUGAAGAACCCGUCAAAGAAGUGCUGGAGGCUCUACCUCCCGAGACGGCAGCGGUGGCAGUGAUCUAUAACAAGUUCUGGACCGAGAAGUGGAAGGACCACACUACCUCGUGCACUACCGAAGAUCUCGUGGCAGCCAACAAUGCAUGCAUAGACAGGGCCCUCAGUACAAGUGUUCAGCUGGAGGGCCUAAUCAAAGAUCUGGGGGAUAAAAAUAUUGACCUGCCCAAGCGCCUCGAAGAGGCGAUGUAGUACGGGGAUGAGGUCCGGGCCUCCCGUGAGAAGGCCUCUAAGGUGGAGUCGACGAAGCAAGAGGCUGAGGGCCAGUUGAUGAGGGCCAAUGCUGAUGUUGAGAGGCUGAAGAAAGAGCUGCACGAAACUGAGUACCAGGCGGCUGCUUUAACGAGGCGAAUUGAUCACGCCAACGAGCACCACCGCUUGACUACUUCAACUCUGGAGGACUCCAACAAGGAAAAGGCUGAGUUAAAGCAGCGGGCGAAGGCCUAGGCUGAAGAGAUUGCCUCAUUGAAGGGGGAGCUGAAGUCGACAGGGGAGGUGGCUGUGCAGAACUUCAUUGAUCAUUUCAAGGAGCACCCCUUGUACGAUAACUUCGCCAACUACUAGGCCUCUUGGAAUGCCCAAGGACUGUUGGGACGGCUAAAGGAGGUCCAUCCGACUUUGGACAUAUCCUCUUUGGAGGUAGAGUUCGGUGGGCUUAUUGGAGGCCGGCCUGACAUGGCUGUCGAGAAGCUCCAGAGGCCCCAGAGGAAGAACCGGGGGUUGGAGCGGAAGACAUCGCUCCAGUAGAGUAGGGCUACUUUUGUAAUCGCUUCGGCCUUCCUUUUGUAACUCAAUUUAAAAUGAAUGGAAUGAAAAUUUUUGUUUUAAAUAUUGUUUCUUCUUCCUUUUCCUUGUGUUGAACUAUCUAUACUUGAGUAAAUGAAUGAUAAGCACUUAAGUAAAUAUUAAGCACCACUUACCAAUAACCAAUUGGUAAAACAAGAUUGGACUAAUAACAUAUUGAAGAAUUGAGGUAACAAUUUAUUAAUUGAUGUGACACAAAGAACUGAAGUAUCAUUACUUAAAAGUUACAUCAUCAACUAAGGUAAUUUCAGCACUUAGUAAGAUAGGGAGGUUACAAAUGAGAUCGGAUCAUGACAAACACUUAUUAGACAACAUGGAGAUCAGAUCAGAACAUACGUUCAUCAUUGAUAGUACUUCCUCAAGUGUUCGAUAUUCCAUUGAUGAGACAGUACUCUUCCUGUGAUGUCUUCAAUUUCAAAAGUGCCAGGUCAGGACUCCUUUCGGAUGCGAUAAGGACCUUCCCAGUUCGGUCCAAACACUCUGGACAUUGUUGGCUUGGAUGAUUAGAAGACCCAUCUAAGGAUGAGGUCCCCUAGCCGAAGAGUUCGAUUUCUAACCUUGGAGUUGUAAUAACAGGUCAUCUUUCUUUGAUACUUAGCCAGUUUCACUUGGGAGAUAUCCCUCAUUUCUUCAAGGAGGUAGAGUUCGCAUAGUCGAGCUUCAUCGUUUCUGAUCUCAUUGAAGUGUAUCCGACGAUGCGAUGAGACUCCUACCUCGAUCGGGCUCAUGGCUUCGACUCUGUAGGUCAUUAAGAAGGGUGUCUCUCCUGUCGCGGUUCGGCUAGUUAUGCUAAUGGCCCAAAGGACAUGGGAAAGCUCAUCGACCCAAGCCCCUUCGAGGUGUCAAACUUCAUUUUCAAGGUAUACUUGAUGGUUUUGUUUAUGGCCUCAACUUGCCCAUUUGCUUGGAGGUAAUGAGGCAUUGAGAAAUCCUUCUUUAUCCCCAGUUCAUAGCAUAAGUCUCGUAUCUUCUUGUUGUCGAACUGUCUCUCGUUGUCAGACACUAAGGAGUGGGAAAUGCUGAACCUGCAAAUGAUGUUCUUCCAGACGAAUUUUAUAGUAUUCACCUCAGUUAUCUUGGCAAGAGGUUCAACCUCGACCCACUUGGUGAAGUAGUCAAUGUCGACAAUGGCAAAAGUCCCGCUUCCUCUUCCUUUUCUGAGUGGACCAAUGAAGUCGAUGCCCCACUUGGCGAAUGGCCACGGAUUGGUGACUACGGAGAGGCUCUGAGAAGACUGUCUUUGAAUAUUUGAGAAGUCCUGGCACUUGUCACAUUUCUGAAUGAAUUGGCAAGCAUCCAUUUUCAGGGUCGGCCAGAGGUAGCCUUGUCGGAGUACUUUGUAUGCUAGAGCUAUUCCUCCAGAGUGAUUUCUACAGAUUUCCUCAUGGAUCUCCCUGAGUAUAAACGUGGCUUCUUCCUCUCCUACACAUCGGAUAAGCGGUGAGGUAAAGCCUCUUUUGUACAGGAUAUCCUCCUAUAGGACGAAGUGUGCAACCCUUCUUCUUAACUUCUUCGACUCGCUUCUCGAAACUGGUAGUGAUUGAUCCUUAAGAUAGGCCAUGAUGGGUUGCAUCCAUAAUGGGGUACUUUCUAUCCAUAACAACUCUUCACCUCCGGAGAUGGAGGGCUUCGACAAGCUUUCAAUGGGGACAAUCUUUAGUAGCUCUGAAUCUUUGUUGCUGGCCAAUUUUGACAGGGCAUCUGCAUAAGUGUUCUCGAGGCGUGGGACUUGGAUCAAUUUGAACCUUUCGAAAUGAGGAACUAGGUCUAGAACUAAUUUUAAAUAUGCAGCCAUGUUACUAUCUUUGGCAGCAAAGUUCCCGUUGACCUGACUCACCACAAGUUGAGAGUCGAUGCUUGCCAGGAGCCUUCUGACCUAUAUUUCUUUUGUAAGUCUAAGGCCUGCUAGAAGGGCCUCAUAUUCGACAGUGUUGGUCGAGGCUUUAAAGCUGAACCUUACUGCGUAAUUUAGCUUGUGGCCUUUUGAGCUUUCCAAGACGAUCCCUGCUCCGGAGCCAGUUUCUCCUAAUGAUCCAUCCACGAACAGGUUCCAUGUUGGGGGCUUGGCUGGUUCCAUUGUCGCCUCCAUUUCUGGGUCUUUGGCAAAUUCAGCUACAAAAUAUGCAAGGGCUUGACCCUUGAUGGCAUGUCGGGUCGGAAUAGUAGGUCGAACUCAUUGAGCUUAAUUGCCCAUUUUCGCAAGUGGCCCGAAGCAUCCGUUCUCUGCAGCACCUGCUUUAAUGGGAAGCUGGUGAGAACCUCAAUUGAAUGGACCUAAAAGUACGGCUUCAGUUUCCUUGAUGCCGUGAUAAGGGUGAGUGUCAGUUUUUCCAUGUCCGGGUAGCGUGCUUCUGCUGGGAGUAGUGCUUUGCUGACAUAGUAUACUGACAAUUGGUGCUUGUUUUCUUCUCUGACUAGGAUUGAGCUGACUGCCUCGUCCGAAAUCGCCAAGUACAGCAGUAGUGAUUCAUGUAGUUUAGGUUUGGAUAACAGAGGCGCCCCUCCUAAGUGCUUCUUCAGCGCUUGGAAGGCUUCCUCGCACUCACCGGUCCAUUAGAACUUCUUUCCUUGCUUCAACACUUUGACAAAGGGUAAGCUCUUAUUAGUGGCCCUGGAGAUGAAGCGACUGAGCGCGGCUAUCCGACCAUUGAGGCUUUGAACCUCCUUCGGCUUCUGAGGUAACCUCAUUUCCAGUAAGGCCCUAAUCUUUAUCAAAUUUGCUUCGAUUUUCCUCGGUUCACAAUGUAUCCUAAAAACUGACCCAAAGCCACGUCGAAGGUGCAUUUGCGGGGGUUCAACUUCAUUUUAUAUUUUCUAAGAAUCUAAAAGGUCUGGUCGAGGUAACUUACGUGUUCACUCGCCUGAAGGCUUUUAACUAGCAUGUCGUCCAUGUAGACUUCCAUGCUUUUGCCAAUGAGUUCGGCAAACAUCAUGUUGACCAGUCUCUGAUAUGUAGCUCCAACAUUUUUCAAUCUGAAGGGUAUGACUUUGUAGCAGUACAGUCCUCUAUCUGUGAUGAACGAUGUGGCCUCCUCAUCAGGUCAAAACAUGGGUAUCUGGUUGUACCCUAAGUAUGCAUCCAUGAAGCUCAAAAGUUCAUGUCCAGCAAAGGAAUCCACAAGUUGGUCUAUCUUCGACAGUGAAAAGCUAUCUUUAGGGCAUGCUUUGUUUAAGUUCAUGAAGUCUAUGCACACCCUCCAUUUUUCGCUAGGCUUCUUCACAAAGAUCGGGUUGGAUAUCCACUUUGAAUAUAUGGCUUCUCUGAUGAAGUCGCUGCGGCUAAACUUAUUGAUUUCGUCUUUGAGUGCCUCUUACCGUUCCGGGUUGAGGGCUCAUCUUUUUUGCCAAUGUGGGGGUACAGGAGGAGUUGAUGUUAAGCGAUGACAAAUGACCCUUGAGUCUAUUCCCAUCAUGUCUUCGUGCUUCCAAGCGAAGACAUCCAAGUUCAUUUUCAGGAAGUUUAUCAUUUAUUCUUUUGCUUCGGGGGACGGUGUCUUUCCAAUUCCCAAGACCUGAUUGAGGUCCUCUGGGUUGACGAAAAAAGUUUCAAGUUCUUCCAUUGGGGUUGCAUUCAGUUUUGAGUCAGUUAUUCGAGGGUCUAACUCAACAAGAGGGUGCCCUUCAAAGGCCUCUUCCAUGUCGGCGUCUUCCACUUGUUCGGAGGUAUGCCCUUGUUCAGGGGCGUCGAGCAUUUCCACGUCCAAGUCAGCUUCAUUCAUAACCUCUGUUAUAAUCACGUUAACAGUGCAGGGCUCUGAUUUUCGCAGAGAGUUUAGGUAACAUGCAUUGGAGCCCAUCUGGUCGCCUUGGACUGUAGCAAUUCAAUGCUCAGUUAGGAACUUCAUAUAUAAGUAAUGGAUGGAGGUGACAGCCCAAAUAUCUUUCAAGAUGGGUCUGCCCAAUACUCCAUGGUAGGCUGAUCUUUGGUCUACUACCAAGAAUUCCAUGAAAUGGUAGGCCAUUAGAGGAGUUGAAUCCAUCUCGACGGGCAGAGUAAUUCAUCCUCAUGGGAUGAUGUUGUUUUCAGUAAAUCCAAAUAGUGGGUCGGUCAUGGGGAUUAACCCAUGUUCAAUUUGUAUUUUGUCGAAGGUAGAGCCGAACAGUAUAUUCACCGAACUGCCAUUGUCGACGAGCAUGCGCUUGAGUCCAUUUCUUGCCACUACGCCUCUUACUACCAACGCAUCACAAUGGGGGUAGUGAACUUCUUGUGCAUCUUCUUGGGAGAAGGUAAUCGGGGCCAUCCUGUUAGCUUUUUCGGACUGGUUGACGAUGUACGUGAGCAUUGGUGGAUCAUUUUCUUCCCUUGUGUAGUUUCUUUGGGCAUUCCUAGUGUUGCCACCGAUAUGAGUUCCCCUAAUGAUUGUGUAGAUUUUCCUGAUGAUUUGGCCUCCAGGAAAUGGGGCCUAAUCUCUCUGUCUGGAUUCUCCUCUGUCCCUCGAUUCUCUUCUCCGGGGUUACUAAUCUCUAUGCCUCCUCUCUCCCUUGUUUGGAGAGGCGGAUCUGCGAGGAUGUUUGUCCCUCCUGGAGGGAUGUGGGUUAUUCCGAUCCGAGCGUCAAGGAGCGUCUCUGCAUUCGCUGGUGUCGUGUCCAUAGAGUUGAUGGAAGGUGCAAAACCUUGCCCCUUCUAAGGGUCUGUUUGAUCGCUUCUUCUUCUUCUUCUUCUUUCGAUUACUGUCAGUACCCCCAGAUGGUCCUGCCUCAGCAGGGACAUUCUCGUAUACCAAUACCUGCAUUGCAUUUAGUGUGGCAGAAGCUAGUGCCUGCCUGGAUUUGGGAGCUAUUGUAUGCCUUGUUUUGGUCCAUUGCUGGGUGACAAGGUGUGCUGCGGGUCCUUGACCUACCUGCCUCUGAGGCGGAGGGAGUUCUCGCGCGACACGUUUUCGGUGAUCAAUUAUCUCUUCACUGACGAUUUCAACUCUUAUCAUUUCUAUCAGUUUGUCAUAAGUGGUAGGAUUCUUGCUGCGUACAUCCCUCCAAAAUAAAGUGUUCAUAUUGAGGCCGCCUUUCAAGGCAGAAAGGGCUUCUUUGUCAGUGACCUGUUCGUAGUAUGUGAUUUCGUUCGUGAACCUAGCGAGGUAGCUUUUUAGCGUUUCUCCAGGGACUUGUCUCAUAUCUUGUAGGCGUUGCACUGGAGCUUCUCCUUCUCUACGUGAGAGAUACUGGUUCAAGAAUGUCUUUUUCAGAUCUGGUCAACUCCUAAUGCUCAGGAAAGGCGAUCUGCUGUACCACACUUCGGUGGCUCGGGCCACGGUUAGGUGGAAGGCUCUGCAUUUCAAAGUAGGUGAGACUCCCAUGAGACUCAUCUGUGUCAUGUACUUGGUGAGGUACUUUUUUGGGUCCCUUUUUCCUUUAUACUCGGGGAUUUUAGGGAGCACGAAAUUCGUAGGAAUUGGGGAGCUUCAGCUCUCCCUUGAGAAAAGGAGGUUAUCAUCAUGAUCAUCAAUCUCAUAAGAUCGACACGGACCUUUGGAGCCUUCAUCAUCUUUCAUGUUCUGGGGAGGUGGAGGUGCUCCUCCUCGACUAUUCCAAUCAAUUAAAUUCCUUCUCUCCUUCCUAUUUCUAGGUAGAAGGGGUGCUUGUUCUUGCUCCUGUUCUUGCCGAACUGAUUUUUGCAUCGAGCGAACCCUAUUACUAGGGUCUUGCCCAAUUUGGACACUGACUGACAUUUGUGCUUCAUAUUCUGGUGGGAAGUUGUCCCCCAAUUGCGGUUCUGCUAGCUGGCUCCCUUGCACAUAGGAUGUGACUUCCGUACCCACUUCUCUUUCGGGGGGACGUUCUCUGUGCUGGCUCAUAUGGCCUCGAGAACGAGACGUAGGGACUUCAUGAGCUGGGUAAGAUCAUUGGGCAUUUGGGAGUCCUGAUGACCUCGUGCUUGCAUGAAGAAUAAAUUCAUGCAUCACCAUAUUCUGAGCUGCAAUAUCUCUCAUGCCCACAGCUAUUUGAGUCAUUCCUUCAGUGAGCAUGACCGUUCUUUUACCUCGACGAUGCCAGUGAUGAGGUCUUUGGUGAGUGACAUUGUUUCGGAGCACCUUUUCUUCAUAGGCGUCCAUCCUCGGGUUUGCGUCCUCAUUGCAGGAACUCGUCUUAUCUACUCCUUUUUCAAGGGUGAUAAGAAUUUGGAUUGUAAUUCGACUUUGCUCUUUUUCAAGAACGUGCCCUUUUCAAGGUAAGUCAAUGGCUUUCCAGUGACUUUUUUCGGUGGAGAAUGUAGAACUUUGAACAGGAAGUUUCCCAAAGACGGUGUCAAUUUGUUGACCUCUAGAAUUGGACCUCCCGUGUGGCCAACCGAUAGCUACUCCACGUGAUCCUCCCUGCGCACAAUCAACACACGGUCAAACGUACAUGGUCGGAACCAGCGGGGGUGGUGGCGGCCGUAUACAUUCCAACGGUCAAGUUAGUAUCCGGUGAUCGAAAUAGUACCCGAGUUGUGCAAGAGAGUGGGGAGGAGAUGUAAUACCUUAAUUUAGGGGGAAAAAAGAAAAAAAAAACAAAAUGAAAAGUCAAAUAUGUCAUACAAAUAUAAAACAAAAAAAAAAAAAAGACAAAAGAUUAAGGCAAUGGUCCAAAACCAUUACAAAACAAAUAAAAAUCCAUUAUUCACACAAAACACACACAAACACUACUGUAAAGAAACGAGGCAGAGAGAAAAGAGAAAAGAGAAAAGAGAAAGGAAAAAGAAGAAAAAAAAGGAGAAGAGGAAGAAAAAAAUAGGAAAGUUCGCCUAUAUUGUUAGAAAAUAAGUGGUCUACAUUAUUAAGCUUGAAUUCCUCAAUUUUGAAAGGUAAGUAAAAAGUUACUUAUUAUCAAUUUAUGUUUGAUUUUAUAGUGGUUAGAUUGUUAAAUUGAAUUCAAUUUUAUUGAAGGGGUUAAGUAUAAUAAACUAUGAAAUUAAGUAAGAUGAAAGAAAAGCUAGUUUUAGUUAUUAAAAAGACUGUAGAAAUCGCCCAAAUGUGAAAUGAUUAAGUUUGGCUAUCGCCUUUUUAAUUAUUGAAAUUAUUUAAAAUAAUUUAUUGUUUAUUUAAAAAUUAUAUCGUAUUUCAGACGGCGAUAUUGACAUCUGGAUAACUUACCAAAUCGAGUUAAUUUUACGAGCAUAGUUCUGUGAGGGGAAAAAUAUAAAUAUUAUUGAAAUAUUUAUGAAUUAAGUAUAUUGUUAAAGUAUGUGCAAUUAUAUGCAAUUAUGUGUUCGAAUUAUAUGGUUAUUAUGAAAAUAUCUUUUAUUAUGAUACAUGUGAGAUUUUGAAGAUUGUAUAUGGUACAUUGUGAAUUGGAAUAUGAGAUAUGAUUUUGAGAUCGACCAGAAAAGUACCUGUAUGGAUGUCAAACGGGCCGAGCGGCUCGGGUCGUGGGCGGCUCGGGCUGUCAGGGCUCGUCAAAUGACGAGCCCGAGCACGAGCCAUUUGGCUCGUCCAAAAAAUUGAAAUUUUUUUAAAAAAUGUGCAAAAAAAAAAUUAAAAAAACACGAGCUCGCCCCCGAGCAACGAGCGUUUUUCACGAGCCACGAGCUCGGCUCGCCACGAACCCGAGCCGAGCUCGUGGAUUAAAGGGUCGAGCCAGCUCAGUUCGGCCCAUUGCCAUCACUAAGUACUCAUGAUUAUAUAUUUCUUCUAGCUUACUGAGGGGCCUUGACCGUGUUCUAUAGUACACUAAGGGGUUUUGGACUGAGGAUGAAGGGGUCUCGACCGUGUAUAUAUAGUUCACUGAGGGACCUUGGCCGUGUUCUAGAAUUUAUUACAAAAGGUUUUUGAGACCGACUUUCGUUCACGGAGGUGCCAAAGGCCUGUAGCGAAAGUUCUUAGCCCGAGGGGCGGAUUACAUAUUUCAGUUAGAGGGUACAUUUUUGGUGGAUUUUUCGGUAUGUUGGAUAUGAUGAGAUUAUAGCGUGGUUAUUAGCUGAUAUUUAUAUCAUGAUUUUGAGAUGAUAUUUUACGACCUUAUGUGAAUAUUUCUCCUUUGGUUAUAAUUACAUGAUGUUAUCUUGUGAAUUAUCAAAUGAUAUGAAUUCGAUUUUCUAUAGAAAUGUAAAAUUGAAAAAAUACAUUUAUUUUCGAACUUUUUCACUCAUUGAGUUAUCAACUCAUAUAUUUUCCUGUAAUUUUUCCUACAGGUAGCAAUUGAUUCAUUUUAACUGGAAGAGCAUAAUGAUUUCGAAAUGAGAGACACACGACAUGUUGAGUGUUAUAAUUCAUAUUGAUGAAGCACAAAGUAAAUAAAUUGGACCCAUCGCAUUACGUUUCACACAAGCAUUUGAUUUUGUUGCAUUUUUUGAAAUAACUCAUAAUCAGUCUUGGUGAUAGAUUUGACAUCUAGUCAAUAUCUAUCAUCAGCGCACAUCAUGUUUCGGGUCCACUAGGAUGAUUCGGGACGGGUUGUGUCAGGAGAUUAUAUAUGUUUUCUUGUAAUGGAGAGAUAAGUUGCCAGAGUUCCAUUUCCUUUGCCUCUUGUCAAACCUUGGGUAUUUAUAGGUUAGGAGGACCGUUGGAUGUGGGACGCGUAUAUACAUCUGACAGUGUGAGGCGUCUGUUCAUAGGCGUCAAUCAGCCGCGUCUAUAGAGCGGACGGGUAAUAACUUCUCCCGAGUUGAGUUGACAUAAAGUUGAUAUGUCACAUCAACUAGACCCUUGGGGACGUCAAAUCAAUUAAGUCUUGGGAGCAGAGAGGAUCUUGACACAGAUCUCUUUUUGAAAGUGGUAGCGGAUCCGCUGAAGGAGAACCUCGGAUUGCAUUGCGCUUCGACAUCGAGGACACUUCAAUCGGUUCAGUUGAAUUAUUUUUUGCCUCGCAGCGCUGUGCUGACAUUGGUGGUGGGUCACUUCGGAACCACUUCGAAUUAGUGGUGGACACCUCCUAUGAUGCAGUGGUAGACUUUCUGAAGUGAUUCAGAUAGGGACGUAACACCUAUCAUAAGCAAUGUAAACCAAUUUGAUGUUAUUUACCUUUUAACAUAGUAUAAGCUACGCAAAAAACUUUCAUGCACACAUUUUAUAAGACAUGUGAGAUAGAGAAAGAUUGAAACUAAAAUAAAAACAUAAAUCAUAUUAACACAUCCCUAAUUUGGCUAUGAAUUACACUAAAAGGUGUCGCAUCACCCCAAAAUACUUGCAUAACAAUGAAAAUUUGGAGGACGUCUUGCAAUUUUUUAUAAUUUAGUUCCACAUCCUCUACCUCCUCUCUCAACCUCUCUUCCUCUCCACCAAAUAAGUCAUCAAUUGAUGUACAUAUAUCCCACAAUUUUUCAAUCAACAAACCCAUUGGAGAUGCUAUUAUCUCAGUCUUUCAUUUUACCUCAACCUUUUGAAUUAAGUAUUUGAUAAUAAUAGCACUUGUCACACAUACAACAUCCACAUUAUUGCAUUGAAAAUACACUAAUUGUUUUAGAAAACAUAAAGUUUGGAAACUAACACGUAACAACUCUAUAAAUUGGGUGACCUCUGAUGAAGCUUUCCACACCUUGGGGUGAUUUUCCUUGUGAACUAGAUUGAAAAGAGAGUAAAGAAAUCUAACCAAUCCUCGUACUCUACACAUGUAAAUAAGCUUCAAAUGUAUUUCUUUAGUCUUUCAAUUUAGAGUUUUUCCAUUUGCAGAGAGGUGGCGUUGAUAGAACUCCUCCAAAAUACUCAUACGGGUGAGUUGUGAGUAAAAUAUUGUAAAAAAGAUUCAUCCACCCCCAUUGUAUGUGUUCUAUCAAUCCAUCAUCUGUAGACAUAGCCUGCUUCUUCAACUUAACAUCUCAAAUCCACUCAAAUACUCUGUGUGCUUGUCCAUUUCAAGUAGGGGUGUCAACAAGUCGAUUCGAGCAAAAGGUCAGUCAAAAAAUUAAGGCUCGACCCAAACUUUUGGCUCAGGCCUUACCGAGCCAAGUCAGCUCGAUUUUCUGCAUUUUUUAAAAAUCUUCCUCUUAGGCUAAAAUAGCUACCAACAGGCAGCUUCGGAUGCUGCCUUAGUUUAGCUACAUGUUUGGCAGCAGAAUUUUUUUUUUUACGGGCCGGCCUGGUUCGAGCCGACUCUCUGAAAUGGGGCUUACCUCGAGCCUUGGCUCGGUGCCUUCCAGCCUUGAGCCGGGCCCAACUACGGGCUGCCUAAACCAACGAGCCCGAUUAACAUCCCUAAUUCCAAGUGACAAAAAUGAUGAGGAGACAGAUAAAAAUGGUUGCAUUCAGUUUCUCUUACUAAAACUGAUAUCUACAUUUACAUUUUCUUUCAUUGUAUCGUAAAUUAGAACAACUUUAAGUUGAGCAUACUUUUUGUUUUAAUUCGUAGUAAUUUCAAUUGUCAUUUAGUAUUAUCUUAUUUUGAAUCUUAUAACUAUUAUUUGCAAUCAACAUUUCGUGCCACAAAAAAUAAUAAGUGCCUAUUUGACAUCCAUCAAUUUAUUUUAUGGUUUACUAUAAGAGCAUUCCAACCACAAGUUUACCCAAUAAAAUGUUCCACGUAAAUCAAAAAAAAUUCUCUACUUUUUAAUCACAAAUUCCCUUAAAACUAUUAUUCAAAACUCAUUUUUUUCCCAAUUAAUGAGAAUCAAACAUGCUUAAUUUUGGGCUUUCAUGAUAUUGAGACAUCAAAUAUACUAAAAUGUAUAAUUAUCAUGUGUUAGAAACAUGGUUUGUCAUUGAAUUUUAGGCAUGCUUACUAAUAGUUUACGAACAUUAAAUACUAAGUCCUUGUUUGAUCCCCAUUAUUUUAAAAUACAUUUUUUCUUUAUUUUUUUUCAAUCAUAAAUUAUCUAAUGAAAUGAUAUUAUGAGCAAAGUUAAAACAUUUCCUUAUUUUUUAAGUCAUAUAUUUCCCAUCAAUCUACUAUUUCAAAAUAUAUUUUAUAAUAGGGUUCAAAUAUAUUCCAAAAUAUGUUUUUGAAUUUACGUGCAAAAUAUUUUGUUAUAUUAAUGUGAGGUUGAAAAUGAGUAUGCGAAUUAGCUUCUGUUUGAUAAAAGUUAAUGAAAUAUAUGGUUGAAAAGUGGUGGUACCUAUGAAAUAAGUGGUUAAAAUUAUUGUUGACUUUAAUUUAAAUUAAAACAUGAAUUUUAAUCAAUAUCAAAUAGGGACUUUAUGUUUUUAAAAGGAGACAAACAUAGGCUUGAUUAUAAAUACAAAUACUCUAGCCUCUUAUUUUCACUUUUAUUCUUCUCUUUUAUUCCUGCAUUGAUAUUCACACAAUUUUCUUUGACAGCAAGUAUGGGUUCGGGUAUGAACUUGGAAGAUAUUUGGCAUGCUAUGUACUUGCUCAAUGAGGUUACCGCUGACGAUGUAUUCGGCUUUAUCGAAUCUGCUAUCUCAAUUGCAUUAGUGGAGAGGCCAGACGAGUUUAGGGAAAGAAAAUUGAGAAUAGCACGACUUCUCUACGGUGAUGAUGAUGAUACUUCCAUUAACAGUGGUGAAGAAGCCGAUCUUGAAGGUAAAAAGGGUCAAAGUCAUUCGAUUCCAAAAAGUGAUAAAAAUACAAGUGUUGAUGAUGAAAGAAACCUCGCAACAUCAUUCGAAUUAAGUUGCCUAAAACAAGAAGCAACGUCGACGCAGCACCGGAGUCGGGAAAGAAGACAAUGAUUAACUUACAGCAUCAAAGAAAGAUUCAAGAACAACAAAGUUCUGAGAUAGACUUGAAAUUUGUAGAGAGUAAAAGAAAAUAGGAAGAAAGAUGUUAACAACUCGACAAAUCAAGAAGCAAGAUACAAAGUCUUGAGACCAAGAAUCUUCCUCGUCAAGAUGGGGAACCAAAGAAGAGACUACAGGUUUUGCAUUGCACAGGCCAAAAAACAAAGAGGCAAUCUGAUCCGCUUAAGCUUCUUCCAAAUUCCAAGUUCAGUUGUUAUAGCAAGCGUACGAGGCCCGGUACUACUUCUUGAAGACAUUAGAAAAUGGAAGUGAUAAGGUCUGUCUGAACAUAUAUUUUGAUGUAAUGUUGUAAAAGAACUACGUGCAGCUUGAUUCCUAAUUUGGGUACGUAGGCAGCCUAAACUUUAAAGGUUCCUGCUUUUAGUGAUGACAAUUUAUUUGUGCCUGAAAGUUGUAAUUGUAUAAAAUCUGUUACUCAGUUCUGUAAUUGUGAUUAUAGAUAUUUUACACAGUUUUUGUCGUAUAUAUGGAAUAUUUCCUUGUUAAUUAUAUUCAAUCAUAUCUCCAGUUUCACUAAUUAGAUUUUUCUGAUAUUUGUUGGUAAUCAAGAGUUUUGUAUUUAAUUAAUGUCUUUAUUUAGGGGUUGUUUUAGUUAAUUUUGCGUCAACAAGUCGUGUGGGUUCUUUUUAUUCAAUUAUUGGUCAAUAUUUGUUAUUAUCUUGGAAAUCGAUGAGUUUCGAUAUCUUUUCGUUACUGUUUAGUGUUUCUCAUUGCAUAACACGAAUAUACUUGUACAAAACCUGAUUCGUGCAGUAGAGUGAUAGGAAACAAGUGUGUUGAACCUCUAUUUUUUCAAGACUCGUUUUUAUAAAUUUUAAUUUCAAUCACACUUUCUUUUAUAAAAUAAUUUUACAAGUAAACUCAAAACUUUUUUAUUUCUCUUUUUUAACCAAAUAAUUUUUGAAAUUUAUUAUUUCAAAACACAUUUUCUCAAAAAAAAAAUUUAAUAAUAAUAAUAAUAAAUAAUAUAUAUAUAUAUUUCUUAGGAUAAUAUUAAUAGUCAAUAGACUAUUAAUAGUAAGUAACUUCAAUAAUUUUUUAUUUACAAUUUACUUAUUAUAAGACAUAUAACUAUAAAUUUAACAAAAAUACUCAUCGUUUCCAAAAUGGAAUGAUUGUAACUUAGCUAAAUAAUAUCUUGUUAAAAUAACACAUUUCCUAAUCUAACUAAAAUUAUCGUUAGGUUGUUGGGAGUUUAAAAAUUAUACUUAGAUGAGGCUACCAAAUAGUUUCACGUUGACUAAAAAUAUUCACAGCACAACUUUAAUUUACUAAUUAGAUUACAUUUUAAUUGUAUGAAAUAUUCAUAAUCGUUACACUUUAUCACAUUUAUGUCUCAAACUUCUUUUCAUAGCAUUCUUAUUCUCAAAUUAACAUAAAUUUUUCCUAAUUAUGAUUUCUCUUCAUUUUUUUUAAUAUAGUAAAAUAAAACUCAUUUACCCAUCGUAUUUUUAAAUGAGCAAAACAAAUAAUAAUACAUUAAUACAAUUAAAUAGUUGACCCUCAUUUUAAAGUACGUUAAUAAUAUUUUUGAUCGAAAAUCAUGAUUAAGGAUAAACUUUUUUUGAUCAAUAAAAUGUUAAACAUAAUAAUAUGAUAAUGAAGAAAGUUAAUGAUAAAAGUUUGAUACUAAUAAAAAUUAGUGACCUUUACUUAUUAGAAAAACAUAGUGUAAAUAUAACCACCCUUUCAUGUUACCUAAUUUGAUAAAUACUUUACUUUAAUGGAUUUCAUUCGUCAAUUUGUUUAGCCCCUAUUUGAUAGCCAUCUUUUAGAAAAAAAAAUUGAUAUUUUGAAGAGUAAUUCAUUGGAGAAUAUAUGGUUAAAAAGUAGGAAAAAAAUUUAAAUUUAUGUGCAAAAUAUUUUGUUAUGGGAAUGUGAGGUUGAAAAUGAGUAUGAGAAUUAGCUUCUGUCUGAUAAAAGUUGAUGAAAGGGUGACAUGGCUCACUGCAUUUUGAUUAGCUAGACGAUGUAUGAAUUGAGCUCACAUUCUCAACGUUAGUGUUUUUAAAGAUAUGAAUGAAAAAAGGAAUAUAUGUUGAGAAAUGUUUGGUUUUAUUUUAUUUUAAAGUAAAUCAUGUAUAUAUUAUAAGCAUCCAUCGUAUGCACGAUGUUUGUUUUACGUCACGUUCAUUCCAUGUUAUUCGUCCUCAUUUGUCAAAUGAUGAGAGUUAGGUGAUGCGACGCCACUACUUGAGGCGAGAUGGGCUAAUUAUAUUCUAAAUUAAUAAUUUGUACUUCUGAUAAAUCUCAUUGUUGUUAAUAAAUAAUUUCGGAUGAUGUAUUUUGUCUCAAAAAAUUGUUUAAAAUUUUAUUAUUUCGCAAGUUAUAAAAACACCUAAAGUUGUAAUUUAUGUAAUACAACUAAACUAUUUAGAGAAAAAUAACCUUGAAUAAUUUCCAUCCAUCUCAUCAUUGAAAUAAAAUAAUUCAGAGAGAAAAACCCGUGUAUGCACUGUGUGAAUGAGAUGUUAAAAUAGGCCCAUAUUCAAACAAUUAAACAAAGAGUUUGCAGUAGACAUAAUUAUGUUAUUGAACAUUAGAAUGAAACCAAAAUAAAUUAUUAAUCCAACCUUUAUGCAAGGAGCAGUACUUGAUCCAGAAAGUGAAGAAUGGAAAAAGUCAUCCAACAGCAAGGAGGCCUAACAAGUAAAUAAGGUAAAAACCUUGACUACUAAACAUAAGGGCAUUUUAUUAGGUAUGAUUUCGAUUAGUUCACUAUUGGACCCCUAAUGUAGUAUUAUUAAUUUAUUUAAGACUUAAAAUGGUCACAUUGAUUUAUUAAAUUUUCACUAUGUUGUCGGAUUGUGAUAUAUUUGAAUUNGAUGACGAUACUUCUAUUGACAGUGGUGAAGAAGCCGAUCUUGAAGAUAAAAAGGAUCGAAGUCAUUCGAUUCCAAAAAUUGAUGAGAAUACUAGUGUUGAUGAUGAAAGAAAUCCCCACAACAUUAUUCGAAUUAAGUUGCCUAAAACAAGAAGCAACAUCGAUGCAGCACCAGAGUCGGGAAAGAAGACAAGGGUUAACGUACAUCAUCAAAGAAAGAUUCAAGAACGACAAAUUUCUGAGAUGGACAUGAAAUUUGUAGAGAGUAAAAGAAAAUUAGAAGAAAGAUAUGAACAACUCGACAAAUCAAGAAGCAAGAUACAAAUUCUUGACACCAAGAAUCUUCCUCGUCAAGAUGUGGAACCAAAGAAGAGACUACAGGUUUUGCACUGCACAGGCCAAAAAACAAAGAGGCAAUCUGAUCUGUGUGCGCUUUUUCCAAAUUCCAAGUUCAGUUGUGAUAACAAGCGUACGAGGCCAGGUACUACUUCUUGGAGACAUUAGAAAAUCGAACUGAUAAGGUCUGUCUGAACAUAUAUUUUGAUGUAAUGUUGUAAAAGAACUACGUGCAGCUUGAUCCC